rnacentral:rRNA from 1 species
GAUGAACGCUAGCUACAGGCUUAACACAUGCAAGUCGAGGGGUAACGAGAGGAAAGCUUGCUUUCCUUGUCGACGACCGGCGCACGGGUGAGUAACGCGUAUCCAACCUGCCCCCAACUAGGGAAUAACCUUGCGAAAGUAAGACUAAUACCCUAUAAUUUCCUCAGAUGUCAUCUGACGAGGAAUAAAGAUUUAUCGGUUGUGGAUGGGGAUGCGUCUGAUGAGCUUGUUGGCGGGGUAACGGCCCACCAAGGCAACGAUCAGUAGGGGUUAUGAGAGGAAGGGCCCCCACAUUGGAACUGAGACACGGUCCAAACUCCUACGGGAGACAGCAGUGAGGAAUAUUGGUCAAUGGGCGGAAGCCUGAACCAGCCAAGUAGCGUGCAGGAUGACGGCCCUAUGGGUUGUAAACUGCUUUUAUACAGGAAUAAAGUUAGCCACGUGUGGUUAUUUGUAGGUACUGUAUGAAUAAGGACCGGCUAAUUCCGUGCCAGCAGCCGCAGUAA